rnacentral:rRNA from 1 species
GCUAAAAAUCUAGCCCGUAAAAUCCGCAUGAAUUUACCUACUUUUUACAUCUAACCAAAACAUUUUAACACUUUAGUAGAGGAGAUUGAAAAAUUAAUUGGAGCAAUAAAAACAGUACCGCAAGGGAAAGAUGAAAUAAGCAUGAAAUUAACCUAAAGCACAAAAAAGUAGAGAUUCCCCCUUGUACCUUUUGCAUCAUGGUUUAACUAGUCUAAUCAAGCAUAAAGAAUUAUAGUCUGACCCCCCGAAACUAAGCGAGCUACUUCGGGGCAGUUUUAAGAACUAACCCGUCUCUGUUGCAAAAGAGUGGGAUGACCCCCAAGUAGAGGUGACAGACCUAACGAGCUUAGUGAUAGCUGGUUACUCAAGAAAAGGAUUUUAGUCCAACCUAAAGCUUUUACUAUAAACAAAAAUUUUCAUCAAGCUUUUAGAGCAAUUCAAAUAAGGUACAGCCUAUUUGAAACAGGAUACAACCUCAACUGAUGGGUAACAUAACUUGGCAAUAAAUUAAGUGGGCCUAAAAGCAGCCACCUUUAAAAAGGCGUCAAAGCCUAAUUAGAUUAUUUAAACUAAUCCCCCUAUUCCCCUCUAACCCUCUAAUAAUAUUGAGUAAUUCUAUAUUCCUAUAGAACCUAUAAUGUUAAAACUAGUAACAAGAAGCUAAACCUUCUCUUAGAUGUAUGUAUAAAUCUCUAAAGGAUAAACCACUGAUAAUUAACGUAUAUGAGCCCAUAUUAGUAACUCCCCAAGAAAAUCCUAAUUUUUCCCACGUUAAACUGACACAAGAACAUCUCAAGAAAGAUUAAAAGAAAAAGAAGGAACUCGGCAAAUCUUAACCCCGCCUGUUUACCAAAAACAUCGCCUUUUGUCCAAAAAAUAUGAGGUCCAGCCUGCCCAGUGACCAUGGUUCAACGGCCGCGGUAUCCUAACCGUGCGAAGGUAGCGUAAUCACUUGUUCUUUAAAUAAGGACUAGUAUGAAUGGCAUCACGAGGGUUAUACUGUCUCCUUUUUCUAAUCAGUGAAACUAUUCUCCCCGUGAAGAAACGGGGAUAUUUUUAUAAGACGAGAAGACCCUAUGGAGCUUUAAAUUUUAUUUCAUUUUGCUCUUUUUAUACCCCAGCCUCUUAAUUUUAGCUGAGCAUGCUGAUAAUAAAUUUUUAGGUUGGGGUGACCGCGGAGCAUAAAAAAACCUCCGCAUUGACAUAGGCCUUGAGCCUUAAACAAUAGAGCUUCAACUCCAAGUACUAACAUAUUAACAUCCAUUGACCCAAUACUUUUGAUCAACGAACCAAGUUACCCUAGGGAUAACAGCGCAAUCUACUUUGAGAGCUCCUAUCGACAAGUGGGUUUACGACCUCGAUGUUGGAUCAGGGUAUCCCAGUGGUGCAGCCGCUACUAAAGGUUCGUUUGUUCAACGAUUAAAACCCU